rnacentral:rRNA from 1 species
CCUAAAGUUCCCAUGGCAAACUGCUCAGUAACACAUGAUCAACUUACCCUAUAGAGAAAAAUAACCUCGGGAAACUGAGGAUAAUGUUUCAUAGUUGAAUUGGCUUGGAAAAGUUUUUCGAUGAAAGGGAUAAAAAGAAUGGUUUUUAUCUGCUAUAGGAUAGGAUCGUGUUCGAUUAUGGUUGUUGGUGAGGUAAUGGCUCACCAAGCCGAUAAUCGAUAGGGGCCGUGAGAGCGGGAGCCCCGAGAUGGGUACUGAGACAACGACCCAGGCCUUACGAGGCGCAGCAGGCGCGAAACCUCCGCAAUACACGAAAGUGUGACGGGGUUACCCAAAGUGUUCAAUUUUGAACUGUGGUAGGUGAGUAAUGUUCCCUACUAGAAAGGAGAGGGCAAGGCUGGUGCCAGCCGCCGCGGUAAAACCAGCUCUUCAAGUGGUCGGGAUAAUUAUUGGGCUUAAAGUGUCCGUAGCCGGUUUAGUAAGUUCCUGGUAAAAUCGGGUAGCUUAACUAUCUAUAUGCUAGGAAUACUACUAUACUAGAGGGCGGGAGAGGUCUGAGGUACUACAGGGGUAGGGGUGAAAUCUUAUAAUCCUUGUUGGACCACCAGUGGCGAAGGCGUCAGACUGGAACGCGCCUGACGGUGAGGGACGAAAGCCAGGGGAGCGAACCGGAUUAGAUACCCGGGUAGUCCUGGCCGUAAACGAUGCAUACUAGGUGAUGGCACGGCUAUGAGCCGUGUCAGUGCCGUAGGGAAACCGUUAAGUGUGCCGCCUGGGAAGUACGGUCGCAAGGCUAAAACUUAAAGGAAUUGGCGGGGGAGCACCACAAGGGGUGAAGCCUGCGGUUCAA